rnacentral:rRNA from 2 species
UACAGAGGUGGCAAGCGUUGUUCGGAAUUACUGGGCGUAAAGGGCGCGUAGGCGGCCUUCUUAGUCAGACGUGAAAUCCCUAGGCUUAACCUAGGAACUGCGUCUGAUACUGGAAGGCUCGAGUUCGGGAGAGGAAUGUGGAAUUCCAGGUGUAGCGGUGAAAUGCGUAGAUAUCUGGAGGAACACCGGUGGCGAAGGCGGCAUUCUGGACCGAAACUGACGCUGAGGCGCGAAAGCCAGGGGAGCAAACGGG